rnacentral:rRNA from 1 species
UACGUAGGGUGCGAGCGUUUGUCCGGAAUUAUUGGGCGUAAAGGGCGCGUAGGCGGCCACGCACGUCCGUUGUGAAAUCGCCCGGCUCAACUGGGGCGGGGUCGGCGGAUACGGCGUGGCUGGAGCAAGCUAGGGGGGCAAUGGAAUUCCCGGUGUAGUGGUGGAAUGCGUAGAUAUCGGGAGGAACACCAGUGGCGAAGGCGGUUGCCUGGAGCUUUGCUGACGCUGAGGCGCGAAAGCGUGGGGAGCGAUCCGG